rnacentral:rRNA from 1 species
AGAAUCAACGCUGGCGGCGUGCCUAACACAUGCAAGUCGAACGAGAAAGUGGAGCAAUCCAUUAGUAAAGUGGCGCACGGGUGAGUAACACGUGACUAACCUACCCUUGAGUGGGGGAUAACCUAGGGAAACCUGGGCUAAUACCGCAUAAUACCUUCGGGUCAAAGGAGCAAUUCGCUUAAGGAGGGGGUCGCGGCCGAUUAGUUAGUUGGCGGGGUAAUGGCCCACCAAGACGAUGAUCGGUAUCCGGCCUGAGAGGGCGCACGGACACACUGGAACUGAAACACGGUCCAGACUCCUACGGGAGGCAGCAGUGGGGAAUUUUGCGCAAUGGGGGAAACCCUGACGCAGCAACGCCGCGUGGAGGAUGAAGCCCCUUGGGGCGUAAACUCCUUUCGAUCGGGACGAUUAUGACGGUACCGGAAGAAGAAGCCCCGGCUAACUUCGUGCCAGCAGCCGC